rnacentral:rRNA from 1 species
UAGGGAAUCUUCCGCAAUGGACGCAAGUCUGACGGAGCAACGCCGCGUGAGUGAAGAAGGAUUUCGGUUCGUAAAACUCUGUUGUUAGAGAAGAACAGCGCAUAGAGUAACUGUUAUGCGUGUGACGGUAUCUAACCAGAAAGCCACGGCUAACUACGUGCCAGCAGCCGCGGUAAUACGUAGGUGGCAAGCGUUGUCCGGAUUUAUUGGGCGUAAAGCGAGCGCAGGCGGUCAAUUAAGUCUGAUGUGAAAGCCCCCGGCUCAACCGUGGAGGGUCAUUGGAAACUGGUUGACUUGAGUGCAGAAGAGGAGAGUGGAAUUCCAUGUGUAGCGGUGAAAUGCGUAGAUAUAUGGAGGAACACCAGUGGCGAAGGCGACUCUCUGGUCUGUAACUGACGCUGAGGCUCGAAAGCGUGGGUAGCAAACAGG